AAACGGCAGACCAGGGCUGCAUUUGGUGGGGGUGUGAGUGCCAUGCUGUAGGCUGUGGGACAGUCGGGACAGUGCAAGGUGUUGCUACUGCUAGGUGUGGUUUGGUUUACUGAAAGGGAAGAGCAUGCAUAGUGAUAAUGGUGGAGGUAAAAAAAAAAAAAAAAAAAAGGGGGGAGAGAUGGAAGGAUUGGUCAUGCGCAAGAAGUUGGUGUCAUGCCAAGAUCAGAGCUGUUAAGUCCCACAAAUCUUCAAUAUGAUAAAGACCGCAGGCCGUUGGAGGCAGCUUAGAAAUCUCUUACAUCUGGAACAGCCGUAAUUCGUGGGACUUGGCCUGACAGCCAUGACAGUCAUCGGGGCGACCGACAACAACUGUCUCCUGUGUUAGCGGCCGCCGCAGUGCAUAUGUGUAUCUGAAGCACAAGCUGAAAUGGAUCAAAAUAUUUAAUCUUUCCAAAAUCGUUUUUCUGUCUCUGUUCAUUUUAGCAAUUAAUUCUACAUGAUUUGUUUCUUGUAAUGCUGAUAAGUUCAGAUAAACUACAUAAAUAAAAUAAUUUACGUCUAACCAUACA